rnacentral:sRNA from 1 species
UUAGAAGCUGAUGAUGAUAAG